UGGAGGGACGCAGAAGGAUAGAAGAAGCGUGCGAUUGGUUGUGCACGUCCAAGCAGUUAGGCUGAUAAGUAGGCAAAUCCGCUUAUCGUGAAGGCUGAGCUGUGAUGGGGAAGCUCCUUAUGGAGCGAAGUCUUUGAUUCCCCGCUGCCAAGAAAAGCUUCUAGCGAGAUAAAAGGUGCCUGUACCGCAAACCGACACAGGUAGGCGAGAGAAUCCUAAGGGGCGAGAGAACUCUGGUUAAGGAACUCGGCAAAAUGACCCCGUAACUUCGGGAGAAGGGGUGCUUUCUUAACGGAAAGCCGCAGUGAAUAGGCCCAAGCGACUGUUUAGCAAAAACACAGCUCUCUGCGAAGCCGUAAGGCGAAGUAUAGGGGGUGACACCUGCCCGGUGCUGGAAGGUUAAGGAGAGGGGUUAGCGUAAGCGAAGCUCUGAACUGAAGCCCCAGUAAACGGCGGCCGUAACUAUAACGGUCCUAAGGUAGCGAAAUUCCUUGUCGGGUAAGUUCCGACCCGCACGAAAGGUGUAACGAUUUGGGCACUGUCUCAACCAGAGACUCGGUGAAAUUAUAGUACCUGUGAAGAUGCAGGUUACCCGCGACAGGACGGAAAGACCCCGUGGAGCUUUACUGUAGCCUGAUAUUGAAUUUUGGUACAGUUUGUACAGGAUAGGCGGGAGCCUUUGAAACCGGAGCGCUAGCUUCGGUGGAGGCGCUGGUGGGAUACCGCCCUGACUGUAUUGAAAUUCUAACCUACGGGUCUUAUCGACCCGGGAGACAGUGUCAGGUGGGCAGUUUGACUGGGGCGGUCGCCUCCUAAAGUGUAACGGAGGCGCCCAAAGGUUCCCUCAGAAUGGUUGGAAAUCAUUCGUAGAGUGCAAAGGCAUAAGGGAGCUUGACUGCGAGACUACAAGUCGAGCAGGGACGAAAGUCGGGCUUAGUGAUCCGGUGGUUCCGCAUGGAAGGGCCAUCGCUCAACGGAUAAAAGCUACCCCGGGGAUAACAGGCUUAUCUCCCCCAAGAGUCCACAUCGACGGGGAGGUUUGGCACCUCGAUGUCGGCUCAUCGCAUCCUGGGGCUGUAGUCGGUCCCAAGGGUUGGGCUGUUCGCCCAUUAAAGCGGUACGCGAGCUGGGUUCAGAACGUCGUGAGACAGUUCGGUCCCUAUCCGUCGUGGGCGUAGGAAAUUUGAGAGGAGCUGUCCUUAGUACGAGAGGACCGGGAUGGACGCACCGCUGGUGUACCAGUUGUUCUGCCAAGGGCAUAGCUGGGUAGCUAUGUGCGGAAGGGAUAAGUGCUGAAAGCAUCUAAGCAUGAAGCCCCCCUCAAGAUGAGAUUUCCCAUAGCGUAAGCUAGUAAGAUCCCUGAAAGAUGAUCAGGUUGAUAGGUUCGAGGUGGAAGCAUGGUGACAUGUGGAGCUGACGAAUACUAAUAGAUCGAGGACUUAACCAU
rnacentral:rRNA from 1 species